rnacentral:tRNA from 1 species
GCCUGGGUGGCUCAGUUGGUUAAGCGUCUGCCUUUGGCUCAGGUCAUGAUCUCCGGGUCCUGGGUUCAAGCCCCCAGUCCUGGCU